rnacentral:rRNA from 1 species
AUUGAACGCUGGCGGCAGGCCUAACACAUGCAAGUCGAACGAGUGGCGGACGGGUGAGUAAUGUCUGGGAAACUGCCUGAUGGAGGGGGAUAACUACUGGAAACGGUAGCUAAUACCGCAUACCAUCGGAUGUGCCCAGAUGGGAUUAGCUUGUUGGUGGGGUAACGGCUCACCAAGGCGACGAUCCCUAACUGGUCUGAGAGGAUGAUCAGUCACACUGGAACUGAGACACGGUCCAGACUCCUACGGGAGGCAGCAGUGGGGAAUAUUGGACAAUGGGCGAAAGCCUGAUGCAGCCAGGCCGCGUGUGUGAAGAAGGUCUUCGGGUUGUAAAGCACGUUAAGUGGGGAGGCGUUACCCGCAGAAUAAGCACCGGCUAACUCCGUGCCAGCAGCCGCGGUAAUUC